CCUACGGGUGGCAGCAGUGAGGAAUAUUGGUCAAUGGCCGUAAGGCUGAACCAGCCAAGCCGCGUGAAGGAAGAAGGAUCUAUGGUUUGUAAACUUCUUUUAUAGGGGAAUAAAGGUAUCCACGUGUGGAUAUUUGCAUGUACCCUAUGUAUAAGCAUCGGCUAACUCCGUGCCAGCAGCCGCGGUAAUACGGAGGAUGCGAGCGUUAUCCGGAUUUAUUGGGUUUAAAGGGUGCGGAGUUUGUUUUUUAAGUCAGCGGUGAAAGUUUGUGGCUCAACCAUAGAAUUGCCGUGGAUACUGGAAGACUUGAGUGUGUUAGAGGUAGGCGGAAUGCGUGGUGUAGCGGUGAAAUGCGUAGAUAUCACGAAGAACUCCAAAUGAGAAGGCAGCUUA
rnacentral:rRNA from 1 species